rnacentral:rRNA from 1 species
GAUGAACGCUGGCGGCGUGCCUAAUACAUGCAAGUCGAGCGAACGGACGAGAAGCUUGCUUCUCUGAUGUUAGCGGCGGAAGGGUGAGUAACACGUGGAUAACCUACCUAUAAGACUGGGAUAACUUCGGGAAACCGGAGCUAAUACCGGAAAAUAUUUUGAACCACAUGGUUCAAAAGUGAAAGACGGUCUUGCUGUCACUUAUAGAUGGAUCCGCGCUGCAUUAGCUAGUUGGUAAGGUAACGGCUUACCAAGGCAACGAUGCAUAGCCGACCUGAGAGGGUGAUCGGCCACACUGGAACGGAGACACGGUCCAGACUCCUACGGGAGGCAGCAGUAGGGAAUCUUCCGCGAUGGGCGAAAGCCUGACGGAGCAACGCCGCGUGAGUGAUGAAGGUCUUCGGAUCGUAAAACUCUGUUAUUAGGGAAGAACAUAUGUGUAAGUAACUGUGCACAUCUUGACGGUACCUAAUCAGAAAGCCACGGCUAACUACGUG